rnacentral:tRNA from 1 species
GGCCCGAAGUGACGGAAAGCCCGUUCUCGACGGCACUUGAGGCCAGAUCCUCCCGGGACUUAAAAUCCUGUGGGGGGCAACCCCCGUGCGGGUUCGAGUCCCGCCUCGGCCA